rnacentral:rRNA from 1 species
CCUACGGGAGGCAGCAGUAGGGAAUCUUUCACAAUGGGCGAAAGCCUGACGGAGCAACGCCGCGUGCAGGAUGAAGGCCUUCGGGUUGUAAACUGCUUUUAUAAGCGAGAAAUAUGAUGGUAACUUAUGAAUAAGGAUCGGCUAACUACGUGCCAGCAGCCGCGGUCAUACGUAGGAUCCGAGCAUUAUCCGGAGUGACUGGGUGUAAAGAGUUGCGUAGGUGGCAUAAUAAGUAGCUAGUGAAAUCUGGUGGCUCAACCAUUCAGACUAUUAGCUAAACUGUUAAGCUCGAGACCGUUAGGGGUAACUGGAAUUUCUAGUGUAGGAGUGAAAUCCGUAGAUAUUAGAAGGAACACCAAUAGCGUAGGCAGGUUGCUGGGACGGUUCUGACACUAAGGCACGAAAGCGUAGGGAGCAAACGGGAUUAGAUACCCCAGUAGUC